GCCUAGGAUGAGCUCGAACAUUACAAAUAUAGGCUAUACUACUUAGGAGUUUGUCACAAUUACAGUAAGUGUUUUCAAAGAUUCUUGCAUUUCUUUCCAUCCAUAUACUAUAGAACAUUUCUGUGAUAGUCAUCUUGAAUGUGAGAGCUCUGACAGAUUUCCCUUUGGAUUGUAGAAUGAUCCAAUUGCAGAAUUGCAUCCAGUUAUGUC
rnacentral:lncRNA from 1 species